rnacentral:rRNA from 1 species
CAGUCGCCGCGGGAAUACGAAGGGGGCUAGCGUUGCUCGGAAUCACUGGGCGUAAAGGGUGCGUAGGCGGGUCUUUAAGUCAGAGGUGAAAUCCUGGAGCUCAACUCCAGAACUGCCUUUGAUACUGAGGAUCUUGAGUUCGGGAGAGGUGAGUGGAACUGCGAGUGUAGAGGUGAAAUUCGUAGAUAUUCGCAAGAACACCAGUGGCGAAGGCGGCUCACUGGCCCGAUACUGACGCUGAGGCACGAAAGCGUGGGGAGCAAACAGGAUUAGAUACCCGGGUAGUCCCUGUCUCUUAUAA